AGAGUUUUUUCCUGGCUCAGAAUGAAUGCUGGCGGCGUGCCUAACACAUGCAAGUCGAGCGGCAGCGCGAGUAGUUUACUACUUGGCGGCGAGCGGCGGACGGCUGAGUAACGCGUGGGAACGUGCCCCAAAGUGAGGAAUAACUGCCCGAAAGGGUAGCUAAUGCCGCAUAUGGUCUUCGGAUUAAAGGAUUUAUCCGCUUUGGGAGCGGCCCGCGUUAGAUUAGGUAGUUGGUAGGGUAAUGGCCUACCAAGCCGACGAUCUAUAGCUGGUCUGAGAGGAUGAUCAGCCAGACUGGGACUGAGACACGGCCCAGACUCCUACGGGAGGCAGCAGUGAGGAAUCUUCCACAAUGGGCGAAAGCCUGAUGGAGCAACGCCGCGUGAAGGAUGAAGGCCUUAGGGUUGUAAACUUCUUUUAUAAGUGAAGAAUAUGACGGUAACUUAUGAAUAAGCACCGGCUAACUACGUGCCAGCAGCCGCGGUCAUACGUAGGCGGCAAGCGUUGUCCGGAAUUAUUGGGCGUAAAGGGAGCGCAGGCGGGAAACUAAGCGGAUCUUAAAAGUGCGGGGCUCAACCCCGUGAUGGGGUCCGAACUGGUUUUCUUGAGUGCAGGAGAGGAAAGCGGAAUUCCCAGUGUAGCGGUGAAAUGCGUAGAUAUUGGGAAGAACACCAGUGGCGAAGGCGGCUUUCUGGACUGUAACUGACGCUGAGGCUCGAAAGCUAGGGUAGCGAACGGGAUUAGAUACCCCGGUAGUCCUAGCCGUAAACGAUGGAUACUAGGUGUGGGAGGUCAAACCCCGGUGCUGCAGUCAACGCAAUAAGUGACCCGCCCGAGUAGUACGUUCGCAAGAAUGAAACUCAAAGGAAUUGACGGGGGCCCGCACAAGCGGUGGAGCAUGUGGUUUAAUUCGAAGCAACGCGAAGAACCUUACCAGGUCUUGACAUACCUUCAAAGACCCCGGAGACGGGGGGAUAGCUAUGGAGGAUACAGGUGGUACAUGGUUGUCGUCAGCUCGUGUCGUGAGAUGUUGGGUUAAGUCCCGCAACGAGCGCAACCCUUGUCGUCAGUUGCCAGCAUUCAGUUGGGGACUCUGGCGAGACUGCCGGUAAGAAGCCGGAGGAAGGCGGGGAUGACGUCAAAUCAUCAUGCCCCUAAUGACCUGGGCAACACACGUGCUACAAUGGACGGAGACAGAGGGAAGCGAAGGAGCGAUCCGGAGCGAAACCGAUAAAGCCGUUCUCAGUUCGGAAAGCAGUCUGCAACUCGACUGCACGAAGAUGGAAUCGCUAGUAAUCGCGGAUCAGCAUGCCGCGGUGA
rnacentral:rRNA from 1 species